GGAGGAAAGCAGGGGAUCGCAAGACCUUGCGCUUUUGGAGCGGCCGAUGCCUGAUUAGCUUGUUGGUAAGGUAAAAGCUUACCAAGGCUUCGAUCAGUAGCUGGUCUGAGAGGACGGCCAGCCACACUGGGACUGAGACACGGCCCAGACUCCUACGGGAGGCAGCAGUGGGGAAUUUUGGACAAUGGGGGCAACCCUGAUCCAGCCAUGCCGCGUGAGUGAAGAAGGCCUUCGGGUUGUAAAGCUCUUUCAGCCGGAACGAAACGGUUACGGUUAAUACCCGUGACUAAUGACGGUACCGGAAGAAGAAGCACCGGCUAACUACGUGCCAGCAGCCGCGGUAAUACGUAGGGUGCGAGCGUUAAUCGGAAUUACUGGGCGUAAAGCGUGCGCAGGUGGUUUUGUAAGUCAGAUGUGAAAUCCCCGGGCUCAACCUGGGAACUGCGUUUGAAACUACAAAGCUAG
rnacentral:rRNA from 1 species